ACUCAUCUUACGGUCAUUGUUCAAGCCUAUGUCCUUACCAGGUGGAGAAGUGCCAACGUAUUUUCAACAUCGAGCUUAUGGAGAUUCCCUAACUGUCACUUUACCUUAGAGCUCUCUUUCUCAAGUAUUCUUGCUUUAAGGCUUGCAUCGUGGUUGACCUUCUAACUGAGGGCAAGAGUUGGGGUCCAUAUUGUGAGGUAAAUGCUGGCUUCAAUGGGACACUGUAUUGCAAAUCAUUUUUUAAAGAUGCAGACCUGCGGUUGUGUAAGACGGAUCAUCUGGUUUUCUGUUCCUUCAACUUCCAGCCUGAAGAUCUUCCAUCUAAAUUGACUUUCAACGAUGUGGAGUUUAACUUUUCUUGCUCCAAGAGGAUAAAAGAAUGUGGUAUACGACUCUUGAAUGUGUCUCCAUUUCCAGAUGAUAGUGAUGGAAGCUCUGAAACAGAGUACAGCCAACAGUCUCGAGAAAAAUGUGAUGUUGUAGAGACUGCGAGAAGCAAUAAGCGGAUGCGGAUGACAUCGGGAACAUCUGAAGAAUAUAUCAACUUACCCUGUGUCCAAAUUGUAGCGGACACAAGCUUGACCGCUCUAAAUAUGGAGCUUUCGUUAGGGCAGGGAGAAGCAUCAUCAGUUUCUUCUUAUCCAUCUCUGGAGGGGGAAUCUUUGUGUGUUGAUUCCAUGAUAAGUGAACAACAAGAUGAAGAAAUUCCUAUCUUGAAUUCUGGUUCUGAUAUAUCACUUCCCUUGAUACUAGUUAAAUCCAUAUGAAAAUAUCUUGUUCCCUGAGCUACUCAUUAACACAUCUAGGAUGGGAUGGAAAAGCUAAUUCUCUAGGGCUGUUCUCGGCUGAAUGGUCUUUGGACCAAGGACCUAAAAAAAGACGUGUGUUCUGCGGGAGUUACUUUGUUAUACCUCAUAAUGGGAAGGAAAGCUCUCACUGGUGACCCUGAACAGAACAUAAAGGACAUUGCGCAACUACGAGGCAGUGAAGAAUUAUGGGAAGUAGCCAAGCUGCACAACCGUGAAUCCUCUUUACAUGAGGAAUUGUACAAGUCAAGGUACUUGAAAGGGAUGGAGUUGAGAAAAUGGUACGAACUCAACCCAAAACGCAUGGAGUUUCUAGAUGCAAUUCCAUGGUCGCUCCUUGACCUCGUUGAUAGAUGUUUGACCGUUAACCCGAGACGGCGAAUCAGUGCAGAGGAUGCUCUCAAGCACGACUUCUUCCAUCCAGUACAUGAAACCUACCCUUAGAAACCAAAUGCUCCUUAAACGGCAGCAAAUGCAAUCGCAGCCUACAGUGGUUGCUGACACAGUAAGCCAAAACUCUAAACUAAUAUUACAAUUGUAAAUGUAAACAAGAAAACUUUACAUGAAAAUAUUCUCUCCACUGUCCACACCACACAGCUCUAGAAAACUAGAUAGUUUGUU